CGCUUCUUUUUCCACCGGAGCUUGCUCCACCGGAAAAAGAGGAGUGGCGAACGGGUGAGUAACACGUGGGUAACCUGCCCAUCAGAAGGGGAUAACACUUGGAAACAGGUGCUAAUACCGUAUAACAAUCGAAACCGCAUGGUUUUGAUUUGAAAGGCGCUUUCGGGUGUCGCUGAUGGAUGGACCCGCGGUGCAUUAGCUAGUUGGUGAGGUAACGGCUCACCAAGGCCACGAUGCAUAGCCGACCUGAGAGGGUGAUCGGCCACAUUGGGACUGAGACACGGCCCAAACUCCUACGGGAGGCAGCAGUAGGGAAUCUUCGGCAAUGGACGAAAGUCUGACCGAGCAACGCCGCGUGAGUGAAGAAGGUUUUCGGAUCGUAAAACUCUGUUAUUAGAGAAGAACAAGGAUGAGAGUAACUGUUCAUCCCUUGACGGUAUCUAACCAGAAAGCCACGGCUAACUACGUGCCAGCAGCCGCGGUAAUACGUAGGUGGCAAGCGUUGUCCGGAUUUAUUGGGCGUAAAGCGGGCGCAGGCGGUUUCUUAAGUCUGAUGUGAAAGCCCCCGGCUCAACCGGGGAGGGUCAUUGGAAACUGGGAGACUUGAGUGCAGAAGAGGAGAGUGGAAUUCCAUGUGUAGCGGUGAAAUGCGUAGAUAUAUGGAGGAACACCAGU
rnacentral:rRNA from 1 species